GCAGAACGAACCAACAAAUAGUCAGUAGGUGGCACCUUGUGGGAAAUAUGGGUGCUUUAUACAUGUUUGUUUCAAGAGAUGACUGACUGCAGC
rnacentral:sRNA from 1 species